rnacentral:misc_RNA from 1 species
AAGUCGUAACAAGGUUUCCGUAGGUGAACCUGCGGAAGGAUCAUUAACACUAAUGAAAUCCAAAACCUUUUGGAUCAACCCAACCUUAGCGAACCGUUCGUAUAUUUUCCUUUGCCCCAAUUUUACCAAACGCAAAAAACUCUGAUGUAAAGUGUCUGAUUCUUAUUCUCGUUUCGGUUGUAAUGACCAAGCGGGAAUCAAAAUCUAACGCAAUACAACUCUUAACAACGGAUAUCUUGGCUCUC